GCAGAGAGAAAUCAACACAAAUCAUGUUCCCGACAUCUUUACUGCUGCUUUUGGCAGCAAUGUCCUGUGUGGAGUGUAAUAUUGUCCUGACGCAGACAAACUCUAUAGUUCUGCAGCCGGGACACUCACUGACUCUCACAUGUGAGGUGUCUGGAUACUCUGUUACUGAUGAUAGCUACGCAACAGCCUGGAUACGACAUCCCGCAGGAAAAGCUCUGGAGUGGAUUGUGCACAUAUGGGGAGGUGGAAGCAUAACAAAAAAAGACUCACUAUCAAACAAGUUCAGCAUCUCCAAAAGUGACUCCAGCAACACAGUGACUCUUAAAGGACAAAAUCUACAGACUGAAGACACAGCUGUGUAUUACUGUGCCAGAAGACCACAACAUGAGAAAACAGCACAAGCUCUGCAGCCUCCUGGAAAAGCCUUGGAGUAUAUCGGGAUCAUAUGGGGCGGUGGGUCAGUAGACUCUGGGAAUUCCUUCAAGAGUCGCUUCACUAUUUCUAGAGACACGAGCCAAAAUGAGCUGUAUUUAGCUGUGUAUUACUGUGCAAAGACAGACACAGUGGAUCAGUAUCAGUAG